UGGGGAAUAUUNNNCAAUGGGGGGAACCCUGACGCAGCCAUGCCGCGUGAAUGAAUAAGGCCUUAGGGUUGUAAAGUUCUUUCGGUAUUGAGGAAGGUUGAUGUGUUAAUAGCACAUCAAAUUGACGUUAAAUACAGAAGAAGCACCGGCUAACUCCGUGCCAGCAGCCGCGGUAAUACGGAGGGUGCGAGCGUUAAUCGGAAUAACUGGGCGUAAAGGGCACNCAGGCGGUUAUUUAAGUGAGGUGUGAAAGCCCCGGGCUUAACCUGGGAAUUGCAUUUCAGACUGGGUAACUAGAGUACUUUAGGGAGGGGUAGAAUUCCACGUGUAGCGGUGAAAUGCGUAGAGAUGUGGAGGAAUACCGAAGGCGAAGGCAGCCCCUUGGGAAUGUACUGACGCUCAUGUGCGAAAGCGUGGGGAGCAAACAGGAUUAGAUACCCUGGUAGUCCACGCUGUAAACGCUGUCGAUUUGGGGGGUUGGGGUUUAACUCUGGCGCCCGUAGCUAACGUGAUAAAUCGACCCGCCUGGGGAGUACGGCCGCAAGGUUA
rnacentral:rRNA from 1 species